rnacentral:rRNA from 1 species
AACGCUGGCGGCGUGCUUAACACAUGCAAGUCGAACGGAAAGGCCCAAGCUUGCUUGGGUACUCGAGUGGCGAACGGGUGAGUAACACGUGGGUGAUCUGCCCUGCACUUCGGGAUAAGCCUGGGAAACUGGGUCUAAUACCGGAUAGGACCACAUUUUGGAUGGUGUGGUGGAAAGUUUUUCGGUGUGGGAUGAGCUCGCGGCCUAUCAGCUUGUUGGUGGGGUAAUGGCCUACCAAGGCGUCGACGGGUAGCCGGCCUGAGAGGGUGUACGGCCACAUUGGGACUGAGAUACGGCCCAGACUCCUACGGGAGGCAGCAGUGGGGAAUAUUGCACAAUGGGCGCAAGCCUGAUGCAGCGACGCCGCGUGGGGGAUGACGGCCUUCGGGUUGUAAACUCCUUUCGCUAGGGACGAAGCGUUUUUGUGACGGUACCUGGAGAAGAAGCACCGGCUAACUACGUG